UUAAAAAAGAAGAAAGAUGAGGAGGUUGUUGCAGAGAAAAAGAAAGAUAGCAGGUCUGCUGUUGAAAAAUGGAAUGAGAAAAAAGAUGGUUUCAUGAAGCUAAAGAAAAAAGAAAAAAUCCAAGAAAGAAAAAAGGAAGUAGAGAAACAAUUUGAGAAUGAGAAAAAGGAUAAAAAAGCUAUAGAAGAAUAUGAAAAAUGGCUGGAACAGCCACUUCUGAAGGUCAGCACAGCCCAGACCCAGCAAAAGCUAGCAACAGCAGCAGCUGCAAAAG